CUGUGACCUGUUCUUGGCCAGGGGGCAGGGAGACAGACAUGGCACAGGACAGCCUUUUGAAAGGCUGACACAGCCUUUGAAAGGCCCACAGUGACAGCAAGAGCCUAGGUGACCCUGUGAAGGGGUCCCUAUUGAAGAUAUUGUCAUCCCUGGACAGUGCUGGCAUGAUACUGAGGUUUGAAGAAACUCAUCGACUCUUUCUGAUGAGGAAGACUUCCCUGAGGGGAGGACAAAAAAUGGUUCCAGUGGCAAAAGAGGCUGGGAUUUAGAUGGUUUCCAUGCUCAGUUGCAGAGAUGCUGCUCUGCCAGGUUGAAUGUUGUCAGGCUGUACAAAACCCUGGCUGUGUGUGGUCACAGCAGGGUUGCCUGUUCCCUGGAUGAGGAGUUUUCAGGGAGUUUACAGAAAGAGAGUUAUCUUGGGGCUUCUCAGCCAUAUCAGCAAAACUGACUUCUUCAGGGAUGAAGGACUGAGACAGGAGAUGAGGACUCUUCUGGCAUGGAAGAAGAGAAGAGCUGGAGCAACCACUGUUGGUGGGAGGAAGCAUUCCUCCUUGCUUGUCCUAUGCGUCUACAAGCCUUUGUCCUAUUGCCCUACACACUCUCUGCCUGCUUGAGCGCAGCAGCCAGCCUGGCUCAGUGAUUUGGCCUACGUGAAGCAGCUGGUGGGGUCACUGUCCCACACAUCUCACCCCUCAGUCUAACCUACAUUGCUCAAGGGCUAGGCCUUGCAUAUAGAAGCCCUGAUCCUUCUCUUCACAGCUGUUGCGCUAGACACCCCAGGCCACUACUGCAAGCAUGGUGUUUGCUGUGUUGGCAUUCAUACAGUUUUUGGUAGAAGGUGAUGCCACUUUCCUUUAUCCCAAACCUCAGCAGGUGAGCAGAUGUAGCUGUACUGAUGGAAAAGAUGGCUACACCACCAUGCUUGUCACUGCCACCUUGUUGGAAGCUACUGGCCCUGCCAAUCUGCCAGAGAACCUGUU
rnacentral:lncRNA from 1 species